UCACAGGCCGGCUCCCCACUGUCAAGGGCCCUGAUUGGGCCCGACAGCAGGCGCAAAGGAGAGGCCCCCGCCGCCUCUGAAGGACACCGACAGGUGGGAGGCCGCUUCGGAGCCGGGGGGCGGGGGCGGCUCGCCUCGCCUCGGCGGGAUAGAAAAGGCCGAGCGGCGAGGCCGGAGCAGACGGACGCGAGGACGUUGGCGCUGUGGCAGAGAUGCUCCGUGCAUGCAAAGUGAGGCGUUUUUGUGAGGUUGUUUCUACGAGAGGGAAGGCGUCGACGCAGGAAACGACGACGAGCCACUCGUCCCGUCGUUACGCCCUGAAAAAGAGCGGCUACUGUUAACUCGGCUCCAAAGGGCCCAGACGCCAGCGCUGGCCUCAUCCAAAAGCAAAACCAAAGAAAGGUAAGAAUGAAGAGGACAUGCGGGCUUUCUCUCUAACACCUCCUCAUCUUCUUCCUCUUCCUCUUCCUCCUCCUCCUCUUCUUCUUCUUCUUCUUCUUCUUCUUCUUUGCUCAGCUGAAGCAACACACCUUGCUGUGGCUGGUCAAACGGAACCAAGUCAGGUGUUUCUGUGAGGUUUGGUCCCCUUCAACCAGCUACUGCGUCGUGCAUUCCGUCAGCGGACGCCUGGCCGCGUGCGUGGUUGUCAUAGUAACGGUGACAGAUGUGAAUUUGUCGUGCAGCGUGGAGUUAUGAGCUGUUUGCUGUGUGUGACAAUAAAGCAAUAAAAUAAC